rnacentral:tRNA from 1 species
UCCGGAAUGGUGUAGUGGCUAGCAUUUCUGCCUCUCACCUGCAAGAUACAGGAUGGCCGCAGGAGACCGGGGUUCAAUUCCCCGUUUCGGAA